rnacentral:rRNA from 1 species
GACGAACGCUGGCGGCGUGCUUAACACAUGCAAGUCGAACGGAAAGGCCCGGCUUUUGUGGGGUGCUCGAGUUGCGAACUGGUGAGUAACACUUGAGUAACCUGCCCUUGACUGUAGGAUAACUUCAGAAAACUUGGGCUAAUACCGCCUAGGAGCUCCUGCUUCAUGGUGGGGGCUGGAUAGUUUCGGCGGUUGGGGAUGGACUCGCGGCUUAUCAGCUUGUUGGUGGGGUAGUGGCUUACCAAGGCUUGGAGGGGUGGCCGGCCUGAGAGGGUGACCGGCCACACUGGGCCUGGGAUGAGGCACAGCCUAGUCCGGGAGGGAGCGGUGGGGAAUAUUGCAUAAGGGGCGGAAGCAUGAUGUAGCAAAGCCGUGUGGGGGAUGAGGGGAUUGGGGUUGUAAAGUGCUUUCGUUUGUGACGAAGCGUGAGUGACGGUACCGGGUAAAGAAGCACCGGCUAACUACGUG